GAUGAACGCUGGCGGCGUGCCUAAUACAUGCCAGUCGAGCGAACGGACCAGACGUUUCCUCCUCUGAUUUUAUCACCGGACGGGAGAGUCACUUUUGGAUAACCUACCUCUAAGACUGUGAUAACUUCGCGAAACCGGCGCUAUUACCGGAUAAUAUUUUGACCCGCAUUGUUCCCGCGUGAAAUUCGGUCUUUCUUUCACUUAUAGCUUAAUACGCACUGCAUGAGCUAGUUGGUUAGGUAACGGCUUAGCAAGGCAACGAUGCAUACCCGACCUGAGCGGGUCAUCGGACACACGGGAAGAGAGACAGGGCAGAGACUCCUACGGUAGGCAGCAGUAGGGAAUCUUCCGCGAUGGAGGAGAGGGUGACGGAGCAAAGCGGCGUGAGUGAUGAACGACUUAGGAUCGGAAAACUAUGUUAUUAGGGAAGAAGAUAUGUGUAAGUAACUGUGAAGAUCUUGACGGUACCUAAUGAGGAAGCCACGGCUAACUACGUG
rnacentral:rRNA from 1 species